rnacentral:rRNA from 1 species
AAGUCUGAUGGAGCAAUGCCGCGCGAGUGAUGAAGGUCUUCGGAUCGUAAUACUCUAUUGUAAGGGAAGAACCAGUACGUCAGGCAAUGGACGUACCUUGACGGUACCUUAUUAGAAAGCCACGGCUAACUACGUGCCAGCAGCCGCGGUAAUACGUAGGUGGCAAGCGUUGUCCGGAUUUACUGGGCGUAAAGAGUAUGUAGGCGGACAUUUAAGUCAGAUGUGAAAUCCCCGGGCUUAACCUGGGAGCUGCAAUUGGUAAUUGGUGUCUCGAGUGUAGGAGAAGAAAGUGGAAUUCCUAGUGGAGCGGUGGAAUGCGUAGGGAUUAAGAAGAACACCACUGGCGAAGGCGACUUUCUGGACUAUAACUGACGCUGAGAUACGAAAGCGUGUGGAGCAAACA